CGUGACCUGAGCCGAAGUUGGGCACUUAGCCAACUGAGCCACUCAGGUGCUCCAAAGAUAUAUAUUUUUAUAAUAAUAUUUAUUGAAAUAGUUUUCAAAGUUUUAUUUAUCUGUUUUUCAGAAGUAAAAGUAGUUUUAAGCAAUAUCUCACAUGGGAAUUCAAUUUGCAACAUAAGAUAAAAACAAAGCUCCUUGGUUGAAGUGCGUGUGUGUGUGUGUGUGUGUGUGUGUGUGUGUGUGUUGGGGAUAGUGAGGCCCAGAGCCUACUCACUCAGUUAUUUCAUUCUCCUAGAGUAAAAGUCAGCAAACUAUGGUCCAUGGGCUAAAUCCCACCACUUCUUGUUCUUGCAAAUCACGUUUUAUUGAAUACAAAUAGCCAUGCCUGUGUUUUAAAUGUAUUGUCUAUGGCUGCUUUUCUGCUGCAACAGCAGAGUUGAGAAGUUCAGAUAGAAACCUAUUUAGGCAAAGUCUAAACAGAAUCUUUGCUGUCUGGCCCCUUCCAGGUAGAAGUUUGCAGAUCCCUCUUCUAGAAGGGACAGUGUUUGAAAUGCACAUCUCCUUGGCCUUGAGAUCUCAAUGCCUGCAGGUUACCUCUGUCCAAAGCAAUGCUAUUGUUGGUGUCUACCAAAGGCCACCAGAUGAAAGUGAUUGGGGAUGGAGAGAUGUAGUGAAAGGGAGGACCUGGAUGUGAGUUAUUCUUUCUUACCUUCGUCUCCUCUUCUUUAAUCUCCAGUUGGCACUUGAAGGUAAGUUCCCAGAGAGCAAUGUCUUGUUUGGUUCCCUGCUGCAUCAUUAGCACCUAGAAUAGCACCUGAUACAAAAUAGAUCCUCAGUAAACUGAUACUGAAUUAAUUGCUACAAAUGAGAAAGAAUGAAAUCAUGCCAUUUGCAGCAACGUGGAUGGAACUGGAAGGUAUUAUGCUGAGUGAAAUAAGUCAGAGGACAGAUAUCAUGUUUUCGCUCAUAUGUGGAUCUUGAGAAACUUAUCAGAAGGCCAUGGGGGAAGGGAAGGGGAAAAAUAGUUAUAAACAGAGAGCGGGGAAAGCAAACCACAAGAGAUUCUUAAAUACAGAGAACAAACUGAGGGUGGGUGGGGGGUGGGGGAGAGGGGAAAGUGGGUGAUGGGCAGGGAGGAGGGCACUUGUUGGGAUGAGCGCUGGGUAUUGUAUGGAAGCCAAUGUGACAAUAAAUUAUAUUCACCAGAAAAGAAUUAAUUGCUA
rnacentral:lncRNA from 1 species